GAUGAACGCUGGCGGCGUGCCUAAUACAUGCAAGUCGAGCGAACGGACGAGAAGCUUGCUUCUCUGAUGUUAGCGGCGGACGGGUGAGUAACACGUGGAUAACCUACCUAUAAGACUGGGAUAACUUCGGGAAACCGUAGCUAAUACCGGAUAAUAUUUUGAACCGCAUGGUUCAAAAGUGAAAGACGGUCUUGCUGUCACUUAUAGAUGGAUCCGCGCUGCAUUAGCUAGUUGGUAAGGUAACGGCUUACCAAGGCAACGAUGCGUAGCCGACCUGAGAGGGUGAUCGGCCACACUGGAACUGAGACACGGUCCAGACUCCUGCGGGAGGCAGCAGUAGGGAAUCUUCCGCAAUGGGCGAAAGCCUGACGGAGCAACGCCGCGUGAGUGAUGAAGGUCUUCGGAUCGUAAAACUCUGUUAUUAGGGAAGAACAUAUGUGUAAGUAACUGUGCACAUCUUGACGGUACCUAAUCAGAAAGCCACGGCUAACUACGUG
rnacentral:rRNA from 1 species